rnacentral:rRNA from 1 species
UACGUAGGGCGCAAGCGUUGUCCGGAUUUAUUGGGCGUAAAGAGCUCGUAGGCGGCUUGUCACGUCGGGUGUGAAAGCCCGGGGCUUAACCCCGGGUCUGCAUUCGAUACGGGCUAGCUAGAGUGUGGUAGGGGAGAUCGGAAUUCCUGGUGUAGCGGUGAAAUGCGCAGAUAUCAGGAGGAACACCGGAGGCGAAGGCGGAUCUCUGGGCCAUUACUGACGCUGAGGAGCGAAAGCGUGGGGAGCGAACAGG